CGCGGAUAUUGAACGCCGGUCGCGAUUUACUACGACGCGCGAACAACGAUUCGGUUCGCUCGCACGGGAUCGAAUUACAAUAAUCAUUGUGAUUUGGGUGCUGUAUAGGCGUUGCGUCGGGACAAUAUUAUCAGACGCGAUAAUCGUCGUGCGAAAAACGGCAUGACAAUACUAAUCGUUUGUCAGCGUUAAGGCGAUAAUUUUCGAUAAAAAAAACUCGGAUGCAUACGUUGUUAUCGAAGUUUUUGCGUGUCCGUAUCGUUUUUAUUUAAAAAACUGUCAAUAGAUAUCGUAUGUUCAUUCUGGAAGUUUC